GGGAGCUUGCUCCCUGAUCUUAGCGGCGGACGGGUGAGUAACACGUGGGCAACCUGCCCUGCAGACUGGGAUAACUCCGGGAAACCGGAGCUAAUACCGGGUAAUACAUCGCACCGCAUGGUGCAAUGUUGAAAGUUGGCUUUCUGAGCUAACACUGUGGGAUGGGCCCGCGGCGCAUUAGCUAGUUGGUAAGGUAAUGGCUUACCAAGGCGACGAUGCGUAGCCGACCUGAGAGGGUGAUCGGCCACACUGGGACUGAGACACGGCCCAGACUCCUACGGGAGGCAGCAGUAGGGAAUCUUCCGCAAUGGACGAAAGUCUGACGGAGCAACGCCGCGUGAGUGACGAAGGCCUUCGGGUCGUAAAGCUCUGUUGUUAGGGAAGAACAAGUACCGUUCGAAUAGGGCGGUACCUUGACGGUACCUAACCAGAAAGCCACGGCUAACUACGUGCCAGCAGCCGCGGUAAUACGUAGGUGGCAAGCGUUGUCCGGAAUUAUUGGGCGUAAAGCGCGCGCAGGCGGUCUUUUAAGUCUGAUGUGAAAGCCCACGGCUCAACCGUGGAGGGUCAUUGGAAACUGGAGGACUUGAGUGCAGAAAAGGAGAGUGGAAUUCCACGUGUAGCGGUGAAAUGCGUAGAUAUGUGGAGGAACACCAGUGGCGAAGGCGGCUCUCUGGUCUGUAACUGACGCUGAGGCGCGAAAGCGUGGGGAGCAAACAGGAUUAGAUACCCUGGUAGUCCACGCCGUAAACGAUGAGUGCUAGGUGUUGGGGGGUUCCACCCUCAGUGCUGAAGUUAACACAUUAAGCACUCCGCCUGGGGAGUACGACCGCAAGGUUGAAACUCAAAGGAAUUGACGGGGGCCCGCACAAGCAGUGGAGCAUGUGGUUUAAUUCGAAGCAACGCGAAGAACCUUACCAGGUCUUGACAUCCUCUGACAAUCCUGGAGACAGGACGUUCCCCUUCGGGGGACAGAGUGACAGGUGGUGCAUGGUUGUCCUCACCUCGUGUCGAGAAAAUGUUGGGUUAAAUCCCGCAACGAGCGCAACCCUUGAUCUUAGUUGCCAGCAUUCAGUUGGGCACUCUAAGGUGACUGCCGGUGACAAACCGGAAGAAAGGGGGGGAUGACGUCAAAUCAUCAGGCCCCU
rnacentral:rRNA from 1 species